rnacentral:misc_RNA from 1 species
GUCUGAGGACAUUCCAUCACACCCUGUAUUUCGCCGGCUCCAUCUUCUCCACCUGUAUCCAACAUCAGACUGAAUUCGAAGCUGAAAUGACAGCUUUUCGAUUGCCGUCAAGUUCAAUGUACUUGUUUCAUGGGCGAAGAGUUAAAACGCGUUAAAUCGCUGCAAAGUUUCAAGUUUUUAAUCCCGAAUUGAAGCAAACUCGAUCACCGUUAUCGUAACUAUUGCACAAUGAUGAGGUGACCGCUUGAUGUCGUGAAAUUGUCGUGAAAAGUGUGUUUAUUUUGUUCGCGGAUGUGUGGCGACCUAUUAAGAACUACCUACGACGAUGUUUACGAAGAAGUCACACAUUGACGUGAAAAAGUCAACAUUGAAAAUCCAAGAUUGUAAGAAGGAUUCGGCGACUCGGCUCCGACACCUGAAAACAAUACUAGAUUUUGUUGACAUUGAUGAAGCCAAAUCGCUAUUCGAGACUAACUAUAGCCAUGUCUACUACAUUUUGUAUGAUACUUUCGUUCAAGCUGAAACUAAUCUAAGGCAAAGAGAAUUAGCGUUCCACCUCGUUCAUAAAGCUCACAGAGAAGAACUUGACGGAUCACUAUGGCUCCUCGAGAAGAUCCUUUGUUUUCUACCAGAACUAUUGGCACGCCGUUGGCAAUGUCAUUCGCUCAGUCGAUUAAUGGGAAAAUUGUUGCACACUGGAAACAGUGCCAAAUUGCGAAAAGACGGAGUCAGAUAUUUUCUGCUAUGGUACCAAGCACUUGGAGAUAAUGCUCCUGCAGAAGUGCAUGCAAUGUUUGCAGAGCUCGUUCCCGGGCUAAUGACACCGCACAAAGGAUUAAGUGGCCCAUCAGAAAUUGAAUUUUCAGCUGGCGAUAUAUUGAACCAUCCGAACAUGAAAGGUGACCUCGGUGGAUCGGUAUUCCAUGAUACAAGCGUCCAUCCUGUACAGAGCGGCGAAAUUUGCCCACUAUUGCCUCCAUCAACGAAUGAAAGAACUGCCGCGCCAGAUCCACGAGAUGGUGUUGAGAUCCUCUUAAAUUCGAUGGUUCACACUGUGGCCUGUUUAAGAUGGCGUGAGAAUACUAUUCAAAAGCAUAUGAAAAGCUUUUCAUUCCUUCUGCAACGCUUCAAAGAAGUUUAUUUGCCUUUAUUUUGCCCCGGAUUCGAUUAUGAAACGUCGAUUUAUAACCCAAAAUUAGAUCUACCUGCAAUGCGAACAAUUCACAAACGCGAAGAAGUUAUGAGUUGUUGUGUGGUUGUUCUAAUCAACUGGAUCUCACGAUUCACGCAUGAGAAACGGACAAAUAAUCGCCUUGACAACAUCCAGAUUGAUGACGACACCUCAGAUCAUUCGAGUUUCCUUUCCCAUAUGAAAUAUUUAGGCUUUACCCAAGAUCAGAUUGUGCGCGAUGUAUUGUAUUCAACAAGGGAUAAUAUAAAUUUCGUCCAUGAAGUCUAUCGUCAAGCGUUCCUUCUUGGUUUCACAUCAAAAUCGCAAAUAGAGGCGAUGCGCACGGCAAUUGUGGUCUACCGCGAUUGGAUGGCAGGCGAUCCACCACCACCUUUUCUUCUGGAGCCUGAAGAAAAUCCCUCAGAAAAUGGAACUCCGCCACGUGGCCAACGGCUGCGCACCGAUUCUUAUGUCGGUGCGAUAACCAGAGAGAAUCUCAUCAUUCGCGCAGGACUUCAAAAUUUCCUCCAAGUUUUUGUUACGAAUGCAGCUAACGUUUUUCUCGUUAACACUAGUCAUUUGAAUAUUUCAAUUCCAUCCAAGUCACGAGACUACCGUUCAUCACCUUUGAACGAACAAACCGAUAUUUGCAAGAAGGUGUUAAAUGUAUAUCGGACGAUGGUCAUGAACACUCCAAUGGAACCGAAGACUUGGGAGCAGUUGCUUAUAGUUUUGCUCCAGAUUACAUCGAUAAUACUGAAUCAGCCGCAACCAUCGAAUUCGAAAUCCAGCAAUUUGGGUGGUCGCCUCGGGCAGGCCAUCUUUCAAACUUUAAUUGUGACUUGGAUUCGAGCUCAUACCAAUGUUCCGGUGAAUGUGCACCUAUGGGAAAAAUUCUUGGGUGUUUUGACAUCGUUGACGCAUCGUGAAGAACUCAUCAUAGAGUGGGAUAAAACAAUGCAAACGUUAACUCGCGUGUUGGCCCGCUAUGUCUACAAUUUGAAUCUUCAGGACUUACCCCUUGAUCGUCUAGCGGAAAGCAAAGGUAAACGAAAACGCUUUGGCAGUGUUUGGCAAUCAUCUUCGUCAAAAGAAAGCCGAGGCCUAACUUCAGCACAAUCAAAUGAUCAGAAACGCAACAUUUCGGAUGAUCAACAACGAGAGGAUAUUUCCGGACCCAGCUCGACAAAUCAUCACAGUUCUAGUCAACAUAGGAGUGCACCAGGAACUCCAUCGCUUAAUCGCAGCUAUAGUGAAGGCAGCCUUGCACCAGCUCGAAAAUCACGCGCUCGUAGACGACAAAAGGGAUCGCUCAAAAUUCCAACGCUUCCAACAAGUGUUGAACACUCCCUGAAUCUGAUGUUGUCGCAUUCGCCGGUUGAAAUAAGCAUCAGUACAGAAACAUUGAACUCUUCUCGUUUAUCACAUCAUGGAGACAGCCUCCGUCGGACAAUGUCUUUGGACACAUUGCAAGGUAACAAAAAGAGUCGCGAAGUAGCAGAUGAUGAAAUAGAGAGUGGUCGAGCUUCUCGUUCACCCUCACCUACAGCCUCCAGCGGAAUCGAAGGAGGAUCAAUUAAAGAUUCGCCAAUGCAAAUAGACGUGUUAGCUGGAGAUGGAUCAAGUGCUGAUGCACCAGAUGAGUCCAUUUCUUCUAGUGGUCGAAGAUCAAUAAUUUUAGGUGGCAGCGCUAGUGGUUGGCUCCCGGAUGUGGCAGCUAUAAUGUGGAAGAGGAUGCUUGGUUCAUUGGGAGAUGUUAAUUCCAUUCCAAAACCCGAACUUCAUGCACAAGUCUUUAAAUAUCUGGUUGAAAUGACAACAAAUUUGAUACGAAUCAAGAAGAACCAAGGCAUUUCCACCGACAACCAAAGCACUCCCCCUCCACCGGAUUUGAUUCCACCAGUAGGAAUUGCUGCACCCUGGUGUUAUGGGGCCCUACUCCUCGACUCGCACUUCAAAAAGGGUAAAUUGUGGGCCUUGCAGUUGCUUUGUAUGCUGGCGAAUCAUAAGGCGGUGACGGGAUCAGAGCAACUGCCACUUUUCUAUAAAGUUCUGCACACUUCGCUAACUGGGGAAGAUAGAGACAUGCUCUAUGCAGUCCUCAAGCACCUAGAGGGUUCAAGAUUUUUGAGCCUGCUUCUUCCUGGUCACACUUUGUUGCUACUAGAUCUAGUUCACGCUUCUGCUAUUCUGUUAACUUCGUUCGAAACGGGCAAGCACACUCCACGCGCUGAAGUUGCUGGUCUGCUUGGAUCAUUGCUAUGUUUCCCACAAUCUGUCCUUCCAAAGCCGGUGCUUCAACCAUCCGAACAAAUGGACCUCAUGGAGUGUCCAGACAUACAAGAUCAUAUACUAAAUAUAGUUCUACGUUGUGCCCGCCGCGAACCGUCCUCGAAAGCUCGAUGCAUUGCCCUUUGUCAGCUUGGACAAUGGGUUCUACUUAAACUGUCUCGACCAACGUAUCAAAAGCGUGGAUUCUCGCAGGCUGUUCCACGUCCUGCAAGCGCUUCGAACAAAGAAAGUAAUAUGACGUUCAACUCUCGAAUCAAGGAAGUUAUCCAAGUUCUCCUGCAAGCUUUACAAUUUAAACAUAGAACUAUAGCGAUUGCUGCUGCUGAUGCCCUUAAACUUUGUGCAGAGCGAGGCAAGGAAUUAGCGUCAAUUGAGAGGUUGCCGCAUUUGAUAAUAACUGCAAUUUGCACAGCGUUGGAAAUUCAAAACGUUUUCAAUCCUAAAGAUGCGGAUAAAAAUGUCAUCACUUCGUUGAUUCUAUGUCUUGGAGAAUUUUGUAUGGCAUUUCCCUUGAAUUUACUUCUGGAGCCAGUUGCGGACGAUAAAAACGAGAGUUUGAUGUUAAUUGUAUUGCGGGUCCUACACAAUGUCGCUGCCGGGUCAACUUCAGAUAGAAUUAAACUGCUUACAGCUGACGAAGACUUCGACAUGCUUAUUACGCUGGAUGAUGUCUCGGAUGGAAAGGCGAUAGAAGCCACAUACCAAACAUCUGAAACAACGAAUAAUUGUAAACUUGCAAUACGAUUAUGCGCUAAAGCUGUGGCAUUGCAUCUGGUCACGCACUUGGGUCAUUUCCCCAUGGGAAUCGGAGCAGCCCGCUUAAGUUCGUUGGUGGAAGAGCAAGAUGAUGCGAAUUUCGGAAUGAUCCAAUCGACUAUGGUGGAUCAAAAGAGUACCACUCGUGAUUCCGUGGAACUCUCUGCACCGCAAGUGCUAAACGCCCAAUAUAUCCAAUUGUUUAUGUUGACCAGUGGCCUUGUAGCAAGUUUCGUCGAAUUGCCUGCCUUAAAAUUACCGGGUGGUGGUGCUACUGCGGGGUUAGUGACGGCCGAGAAGCAAGUUCGAGUACUUCUUCGUGAUUUGAGUGGUAAAGCUUGUUGGGAUGCAUCUAUUCUGUAUAGCGAACCGAAGAGUUCGGAACCCAAGUGCCAAUCUAACGAAAAGAUGGACAAUCAAUCAAAUCCGAGGUCAUUCCAUCUGGGAAAAACAAAUAAGCUUUUGCCAAGUAGUAACGGGGUUCCGUUGGAUCCGCUAACAUCUACAGUAGGAAUUGAAAUCACAUCUGCACGGCAUACAUUACGACAUAGGCCUCCAUCACAACUGCCCACUGCUCAGGACAUAGCACCGGAUCUCGACCAGUUGGAUGAUCUCCUACAAUACAUUGGUCACACCAGCCCUGAAUGCCUAGCGAAUGUGUCUUCAAAUUUAAACAUGCCUGGUCCAAGUCCCUUGGGUCCACAAUUGGAAGCCCAAACGAUUUCAAUAAUCCUCAAUCAGCGUAAUGUGGAACAGGAUUACAUACAUAAGCAAAACCAAGCGUUGUUAGGCGGCCGCGAUCGACCGUUGAUGAUAGAUAAACGAUAUGACAGUUUAUCAUACGAAUCGGCAAAUACGAGUCUCUCUAGGACGGACAUACCGUUCCAAUACUGUCGCCUUCUAUUCAGUCACUUGGGCCUGGCUGGUUGGGAGCGGCGUACACGGACGCAUCUACUUAAGCGCACGGAAAAAUUACUCCGAGAACUUCGCAACGUUGAUAUUCAAAAGUGUCGUGAGACACAUAAAAUGGCUGUGAUAUAUGUAGCAUGUGGACAGGAGGAUAAGAAUAGCAUACUAAAAAAUACAUGCGGGAGUAGUACUUAUGAGAUGUUUGUGUCAGCUUUAGGAUGGGAAAUAGAAUUGGAAUCGCAUAAUGGAUUUCUGGGUGGUUUGCCGCGGCAAGGUUGUGGAGCUACUGCGCCUUAUUUUGCGACACCAUUUUUGGAGGUCAUAUAUCACGUUGCAACUCGUAUGCCCAGCGAUACACCCGAAUCGACUUUGUCAAAAACAAGACAUUUGGGCAAUGAUGAAGUGCAUAUUGUGUGGAGUGAACAUUAUCGUGAAUAUCGUCGAGAUAUCCUACCAACAGAAUUUUGUGAUGUGCUCAUUGUGGUCUACCCACUUAAAAAUGGUCUUUUCCGAGUGACCGUUAACAGGAAACCUGAUGUACCAUGGUUUGGUCCUUUGGCAGAUGAAAGUGUUGUGAGUGGAACGUGUUUAGCGAGUUUGGUUCGAGCAACAGCAAUCAACGCGAGUCGAGCGAAACGGUCAUCAUUACCAUUUUUCCAGCAAUACUAUGAGGAACGCCACAGAUCACUGGAUACUGUCUCGAGCCGUUACAAAGAGAGUACCACCUUUGAAGAGUUUGCAACGAGAGUUUACAAUCCCAUUCCGUCGUCUUUUUCAACACUUGGUAAUCAAUCCGUAGGGGGUGCACCUUUAGCAGCAGCGCUUAUUGAUCAUCAUCGCUCUUCACUAAAAGAUUAAUCGCCCAUUGAAUCAGUGUCAAAGAAGACGAGUAAGUGUUAAGCCAGAGUCUGUAGGAAGAGGAAACGGCUGGCAUCAACAUUACGAUACGGCUCUGAAAGACAUCGCCCCAACACAAACCGUUCUGGCACCCAUUGAAAGUUCAUCACCCCGCCCACUAAGGAAGCUGCAUCCCUUCAAAUCGGUACCAAGGAAGAUUGCUUCUC